UACGGAGGGGGCGAGCGUUAUUCGGAAUUAUUGGGCGUAAAGGGCGCGUAGGCGGCCCGGUAAGUCAAAGGUGAAAUCCCUCGGCUCAACUGAGGAACUGCCUUUGAAACUGUCGGGCUUGAGGCCGGGAGGGGGUAGCGGAAUUCCCAGUGUAGCGGUGAAAUGCGUAGAUAUUGGGAGGAACACCGGUGGCGAAGGCGGCUACCUGGACCGGAACUGACGCUGAGGUGCGAAAGCGUGGGGAGCAAACAGG
rnacentral:rRNA from 1 species